UACGUAGGGUGCGAGCGUUGUCCGGAAUUACUGGGCGUAAAGAGCUCGUAGGUGGUUUGUCGCGUUGUUCGUGAAAACUCACAACUCAAUUGUGGGCGUGCGGGCGAUACGGGCAGACUGGAGUACUGCAGGGGAGACUGGAAUUCCUGGUGUAGCGGUGGAAUGCGCAGAUAUCAGGAGGAACACCAGUGGCGAAGGCGGCUCACUGGCCCGAUACUGACGCUGAGGCACGAAAGCGUGGGGAGCAAACAGG
rnacentral:rRNA from 1 species